CUCAACAGAUUUUGCGGUAAGCUGGGAAUAAAAUAGACAUUGUAAAGAAGCUUUACAUUACGAUGACCAUUUUUUACUGCCAUGGUUCCUCUGCAUUCUACUUUCAUCUGCUUGCCAUUUCCAAGUUUCUUCUUUAGCUAACAUGUCUCAUCAAGCUCUUUGAAUAAUGACUUUAUACCAGUCAUGUGGUUAGAACAUCCGCUGUCUAAGAACCACAGACCACUAUGAGUGGUAGUAUCUUCAUGAUAGGCCAUGUUUAACUUGAUUUCUUCUUCUUCUUCUUCUUCUUUGGCACAGUUUGAUUGCUUUUCCUUUUCCCAGCAUUCUGCCUUUACAUGCCCUAAUUGUUUGCAAUGAUAACACUGGAUAUCACCCUCGUUGUUUUCUCUGUUGAUCAUUGAUUUGCCCAAUUCUACCAUAACCACCUCUAUUGCCAUAACCACCUCCACUACCAUAACUACCUCUGCCUCUACCACUGCUAUCACGAAAUCCUCUUCUUUCACUUCCUCUACUAGCUAUCUAUCUUGGCUGAUAGAUGGCUUCUCCAUCACUUGAAACACUUUCUCUUUGGUUCUCUCAUUUGGUUUAUUCAUUCUUUCCUUAUGAGAGUGGAAAGAGACCAUUAAUACAUCAAAUGAAUACGUAGAUAAAUCUUUGGACUCUUCAAUGGCUGCAACUACAUGAUCAAACUUUGGAGCCAAAUUUUUUAACACUUUUGCAACUAUAGUUUGAUCAGUAAUUUUCUCUCCAUAGGAUCUCAUUUGGUUUACAAUUGCGUAAAUUCUAGAAAGGAAAUCAUGUACAAAUCUCUACUUUUCAUAUGUAAAGUUUCAAAAUCACGGCAAACAGAUUGAAGGAUCACUAUAAAUAGGGGCGGAUCCAGCA
rnacentral:lncRNA from 1 species